rnacentral:rRNA from 1 species
CCUACGGGAGGCAGCAGUGGGGAAUAUUGCGCAAUGGGCGAAAGCCUGACGCAGCGACGCCGCGUGAGGGAUGAAGGUCUUCGGAUCGUAAACCUCUGUCAGCAGGGAAGAACGGUCCCUGUGCUAAUCAGCAGUGCAUUGACGGUACCUGCAAAGGAAGCACCGGCUAACUCCGGGCCAGCAGCCGAGGUAAUACGGAGGGUGCUAGCGUUAAUCGGAAUUACUGGGCGUAAAGGGAUCGUAGGCGGUAUGUCAAGUCCCGGGUGAAAUCCCCGCGCUCAACGUGGGAACUGCCUUUGAAACUGGGAAACUGGAGUGUGUGAGAGGAAAGCGGAAUUCCAGGUGUAGGAGUGAAAUGCGUAGAUAUCUGGAGGAACAUCAGUGGCGAAGGCGACUAGCUGGAACGUAACUGACGCUGAGGAGCGAAAGCGUGGGUAGCAAACAGGAUUAGAUACCCCAGUAGUC